rnacentral:rRNA from 1 species
UAGGGAAUCUUCCGCAAUGGGCGAAAGCCUGACGGAGCAACGCCGCGUGAGUGAUGAAGGUCUUCGGAUCGUAAAACUCUGUUAUUAGGGAAGAACAAAUGUGUAAGUAACUAUGAACGUCUUGACGGUACCUAAUCAGAAAGCCACGGCUAACUACGUGCCAGCAGCCGCGGUAAUACGUAGGUGGCAAGCGUUAUCCGGAAUUAUUGGGCGUAAAGCGCGCGUAGGCGGUUUUUUAAGUCUGAUGUGAAAGCCCACGGCUCAACCGUGGAGGGUCAUUGGAAACUGGAAAACUUGAGUGCAGAAGAGGAAAGUGGAAUUCCAUGUGUAGCGGUGAAAUGCGCAGAGAUAUGGAGGAACACCAGUGGCGAAGGCGACUUUCUGGUCUGUAACUGACGCUGAUGUGCGAAAGCGUGGGGAUCAAACAGG